rnacentral:rRNA from 1 species
CCUACGGGAGGCAGCAGUGGGGGAUAUUGCACAAUGGGGGGAACCCUGAUGCAGCGACGCCGCGUGGGUGAAGAAGCGCCUCGGCGCGUACAGCCCUGUCAGCAGGGAAGAAAAUGACUGUACCUGAAGAAGAAGCCCCGGCUACCUCCGUCCCAGCAGCCGCGGUAGUACGUAGGGGGCACGCGUAAGCCGGAUUUACUGGGUGUAACGGGGGCGCAGACGGCGAUGCAAGCCAGGAGGUAAAGCCCGGGGCCCAACCCCGGGACUGCUCUUGGAACUGCGUGGCUGGAGUGCAGGAGGGGCAGGCGGAAUUCCUGGUGUAGCGGUGAAAUGCGUAGAUAUCAGGAGGAACACCGGUGGCGAAGGCGGCCUGCUGGACUGCAACUGACGUUGAGGCCCGAAAGCGUGGGGAGCAAACAGGAUUAGAUACCCUGGUAGUC